rnacentral:rRNA from 1 species
GAUGAACGCUGGCGGCGUGCCUAAUACAUGCAAGUCGAGCGAACAGACGAGGAGCUUGCUCCUCUGACGUUAGCGGCGGACGGGUGAGUAACACGUGGAUAACCUACCUAUAAGACUGGGAUAACUUCGGGAAACCGGAGCUAAUACCGGAUAAUAUAUUGAACCGCAUGGUUCAAUAGUGAAAGACGGUUUUGCUGUCACUUAUAGAUGGAUCCGCGCCGCAUUAGCUAGUUGGUAAGGUAACGGCUUACCAAGGCAACGAUGCGUAGCCGACCUGAGAGGGUGAGCGGCCACACUGGAACUGAGACACGGUCCAGACUCCUACGGGAGGCAGCAGUAGGGAAUCUUCCGCAAUGGGCGAAAGCCUGACGGAGCAACGCCGCGUGAGUGAUGAAGGUCUUCGGAUCGUAAAACUCUGUUAUUAGGGAAGACCAAAUGUGUAAGUAACUAUGCACGUCUUGACGGUACCUAAUCAGAAAGCCACGGCUAACUACGUG